AAGGACGUCACGUGGCCAAAAUAAAGAUGACGGCUGGAUUGGACUCUUGCCUGAAGACUGUGGGAAAUAAGGUGAAGAAAGGAAGUUCGGAAAGGAUAAGUACAAUGCCAAGGUCACACAGCAAGGUAACUGAUAAGGUUGACUGGGCUCUGCUGGGCAGCUCUUGCAUCGGGUGUCUAGAGAUGCAGCCAUCUGAAGACAUGACUAGGCUGGACGUCCAAGAAGGAUUACUUAUAUGGAUGGCACUUGAUGCGG
rnacentral:lncRNA from 1 species